rnacentral:rRNA from 1 species
GGGCCCGCACAAGCGGUGGAGUAUGUGGUUUAAUUCGAUGCAACGCGAAGAACCUUACCAGGGCUUAAAUGCAUAAUGACAGGGGUAGAGAUACCCUUUUCUUCGGACAUUUUGCAAGGUGCUGCAUGGUUGUCGUCAGCUCGUGCCGUGAGGUGUCAGGUUAAGUCCUAUAACGAGCGCAACCCCUGUUGUUAGUUGCCAGCGAGUAAUGUCGGGAACUCUAGCAAGACUGCCGGUGCAAACCGUGAGGAAGGUGGGGAUGACGUCAAAUCAUCACGGCCCUUACGUCCUGGGCCACACACGUGCUACAAUGGUAGGUACAACGAGUCGCAAUACCGCGAGGUGGAGCAAAUCUCUUAAAGCUUGUCUCAGUUCGGAUAGGAGUCUGCAACUCGACUCCUUGAAGUUGGAGUCGCUAGUAAUCG